rnacentral:tRNA from 1 species
UGGGGCGUCGUCCAAUGGUAGGACACCAGACUCUGGAUCUGGUUAUCGUGGUUCGACUCCAUGCGCCCCAGCCA